CAUUCCAAAUUGCAGCUGAAUCUCCCAACCUCUGGUAUCCAACAACAAAUAUCUGUUGGGUCCAGGAGAUCUCUGCAACUCAUAGUACUUCCUGCUACACUUUUAUCUGCGCCUUCUGAUGCAGAGAGGUUCAGUGGGUUGCCAAAUGUAAACAAUGAGGCAGUGGUAAAACUUAGACCACGACAUACAAAUUAGGGGUCUCUAGAUUUAGGCUGAUUCUACUAGGCCAAGAUUCAAAAGGAUGUUGAGUAGAUUAUAUGCGGCCCCAUGAUACAUCCAUGGGAAGUCUGAAAGCCAAUAGGAUUAAACUGAAAUGUAUCUGGAGAUAGGAAGUCAGUAGGAAACAGUUUGCCCUCCAGCAAAAAGUAGUCUAUCAGGUGCAGUAUGCUAUAAUUUAGCUAAUAAUGAUGUAAAAGCCCAGAAAAAGGAGAAAUGUCAUAAACAUGAUCAGAUAGUAUUAGGAAACACAGAGUCCAGGUGAAGACAGCUAUUAGCAGUGGGAAGGUAAAUGUAACUAGGCUUAGGUUUAGUUUCAUAUUAGCUCAAUGUUAAGAGCUCUGCUGUCCUAUAUGAUCCCAUGCAAAUGGCAGAAUUCCUGAAGAUUUGGAUUGUAAAAGCAAUUUUAAAACAAACCUCUGUUCAGGACAUCUUCUUUUGAUGUUGCUGAAUCAAAAGGAUAUAACGAAAUGAGAUUCCCUAAUUAAAACAGGCUUUAAGUUAUGAACUACUUUUCUUCUUUCAAAGAUUCAUAGAUUCAUAGAUAUUAGGGUCAGAAGGGACCCCAGCAGAUCAUCGAGUCCAACUCCCUGCCCCAGGCAGGAAAGAGCACUGGAGUCAUAUGACCCCAGCCAGGUGCUUGUCCAGUCUCCUCUUGAAGACCCCCAAGGUAGGGGAGAGCACCACCUCCCUCAGAAGCCUAUUCCAGAUUCUGGCAAUGCUUACCAUAAAGAAGUUCUUCCUGAUGUCUAACCUGAAUCUGUUCAUUAGCAAGUUGUGGCCUCUAUUUCUAGUUGCUCCAAGGGGUGCCCUGGUAAACAGGGCAUCUUCUAUCCUUUGUUGUCCCCCCAGAUGAAUUUGUAGAUGACCUCAAAAUCACCUCUCAGCCUUCUCUUGCAGAGGCUAAAGAGAAUCAGGUCCCUCAAUCUCUUGUAGGGCCUUGUCUUCAGGCCUCUUACCAUACGAGUGGCCCUCCUCUGAAUCCUUUCAAAGUUAUCCACAUCCCUCUUGAAGUACAGUGCCCAAGGUGGAAUGUUGCAAGUUGCUUAAAUUUUUCAUUGAGGAAAGGGAUAAAAGAAACCCUGUGUAUGUUUUGGUGAUGAAGAGUAGUAAGUCAGGAGAAAGCAGGAUUGGAAAUCAGUAGGUGAAACAUACACAAUGUUCACAGUUAUUCCUGUUGCUGAUUGCUAUGGAACAUGGGUUUUCACAUUAUGGUCAUGCUUGCACCACCUGCCUACCACUGAGGAAAUAAGCCACGCCCAUUCUCUCCUGCUCUGCAUGUGAUCAAGCCCAGCAAUUAGGCAGCAUCAGUGGCUUAGAGUGGUCCUGAUCAUGAGCCUCAGAGUUACUCUUAAUCUCUCCCAAGAGAAGUUUCAGGACUUUGCUGGACAUUCUGUAUGUCCUGGUAGAUUAACUCUGGUUUGUACCAUCCUCUCUCUAGCUCUUCCUCUAGACUCCAGCAAGUGAACCUUGAGUUGACUUACGUAGAGAAGUGAUGUUGAAGGAGGUACAGUAUGAAAUGAAAUGUGAUUAAAUAGGCAUAGAUAUGACAGUGUAUCAAGGAACAGAAUCAGAGUUUGAGUGAUUGCUGAGAGAGAAUUAAGGGAUCUUUGUGUUUUGUGCAAUAAUAAGCAGGAUAAAAUGUAAUUGUCAGGACAAAUGUAUCUUGCCUGUCCCAUGUAAUAAAAACUCAGGAAGAUUGUUCUCUGGAUUCCUAUUCACCUCCAAAUACAGUUUGUAGAUUAAGGUCAUUUACAUUUCAGAGUUUUUGGCCACAGCUCUACCUGUAGGCAAUGGGAACUACUGGUACUCAGCAUCUCUACAGUUAGGCCCUAAUGACUACUGCUAGACCUGCUAGUGGAGGUAGGUCAAGAGUGUGAGUCACCCAUCCUGUUUCAAACUGCAGAUAUGCUCUUUCUCAGUUCAUUGUGCUUGACUGCUUGGCUCUUUCAAGAGUAGGAGGGCCUUGGGAAAUUUUUGAUUUAUGUGUUGUUGCUAAGUGUGGAACAGUCAAACACACUGGCCAUGUCCAUAUGGUUGCCCUCCUGAUCCUGAGUUUACUGCUAACUAAAUAAGUGUUACCCACUAGCUGUCAUGGAGGCCCACCGGAGAUCAUGAAGUAAGCAGAGUAAAUGGCUCACAAGCAGACUAGAGAGGCAGUGUGGACCUAAGCUUUCCCUGCCAAGUACCACUCUUGGGCUCUCCCCAACCAGAAAGACUUGAGUAUGGCCUUGCUAUGCAUACUCAGGGUUGUUCCAAGCUGUCUGCUUAGUAUAAUUGCCUGUCUCUCGUGUGCUCAGUAGGUGCAAAUGGAAUUUGUUCUGUUGGUGGUGGACCUGUUGUUUUGUUGGCUGUCACGGCGGGGUCCUUCAGGAGGGCCGUGAUCUCCUCGAGGUCCCUCGCUCCGUGUCAAGACCGGCCCAAGGCACCCUCUUAUUCUCGCCUGCCACGUCUUGCUGCUCUACUUCCAGCCAUUACAGUUCCUCAAUGUAUGAGAACAUUCAUCUCUAAUUCAGCUGCCAACUGAGCCUUUCAGUUACUGGAUUGACAGUGAAGGCUCUAGCCACAAAGGGAAAGAAGUAUAUUGGAUGACACCACUCAGCAAACAAAAGUUGGGGAGACCAGAAGAAUAGAGAGUACUUCUCAGAGCAACCCUUGCUAGCACCAACAGCUUGUCCUACAGAAAAAGAAAGGAGCAUAAUGUGGUUUCAUUUUUCUCAAAUGUCAGUGAUAGCAACAACCUCCCAUUCCAGAGCCAGAAGGGAAGCAUAUUUAGGAACCAGUAAAUAGAAACCUAAUCAAGAAGGGAAGAUAAAACAAGGAAUAAUGGGAGAAGUCCUAGAAUAAGAGAAACAAGUCUGACUUCUGGCAGGAAAGAGAUGGGAUUGUGAAGUGAGAAGGAAGAGAAGUGUUAUUGGAGACUAGGGGCCUUUGUACAAACCACAAAAUUGGCCUUUAAAGCGGCUUAAAUGCCCCUUUGCACCGCUUUUAUGGCAUUGUGGUUUACAAUGUCAGCGGCAUAUUACUCUUUAAAUGAUUUCAGGAUGUAGCAAAAUAAAACACCUCUGAGGUGUUUUAGUUUGCUACCUAACAAUGUGCAGCAGCUACAGAGGGAAGCGCUGGGCCCUGUGCAGCUCAGGGGCUGUGCAGGCAGCCUGUGCAGGCAGCCCAUGCAGGCAGGCUCCACUGAAGAAAAAAAAAAGCAGCAAGCCUGAUCUUUUAAUUUUUUUUCCUUCCUGGAUUCUGCCUGCCUGCCUGAGCUGUGCUGGGGCCCAGUGCUUCCCUCCGCGGCUGUGGUGUCCCUGGGACCACCCAGGCCAGGUGCCUGCAGGCAGGUGCUGUCUGGGGGCCACCACUGCCCCAGCAGAAGGAAGAACCAGCCCCCCCGCAGCUCAGGGGCCGCUCAGCCUGCUGGCAGUUCAGGUCCCCAAAGAAGCGGGUAAGGAUUGGGCCUGACCCUUGUGUACAUGCCACAGGGGUUUACUUUGGUUUCAUUCUCCCUAAAUUGAAGCAGUGUUUUUAAAAACCCACUGCUUCAGUUUAGGGAGAAUGAAACCAAAGUAAACCCCCGUGGCACGUACAAGCAGCCUAGAAGCAGACAGUAGAUUAUAGCACCUUAAAGCAACAGAGAGAAGGAAAUGUAGAGAACAGAAUGGGUAAAUAAUGAAGCUAUGUGGACAACAGAAUUUCUAUUACUCAUAGGAUUGCAAGAUUUGGCUUUGUUCCAGAUUUUAAAAAUUCUCUGCAAAGGACAAUUCUGAAGAAAAAAAAAUAAGUUUGGAUCAAUCAAAGUGUUUUGUUUCAACAAAGUCUAAACUUUAAUGUUUUGCACCUUUAAAUGUGUAUUAUAAUAAUAAUGUAAAAUAGAAAAAUGAUCAAAAAGGUGUUUCAAAAUGCAAAAUUGAAAUAUUCAGUCUGAAAAAAACCAAAUGAGACCUUUCAUCAUUGACAGAAAUCCAUUUGGCAUCUUUCUUUUAAAAAGAAAUUACAGAGAAAUUGGCCUGGUGUCACACUGUAUUUUGAUUUUGAUGGAAACACAUUUCCCAAACAAACAGAGUUCUAUCAAAGUAUCUUUGGCAAGUUAUAAUAAAGAACAGAAAAAAGACAUGUAGUACAAUUCACGAUUAGAUCCUGAAUUGCAGCAAGGCUUCUACCUUGGCCAUGUGGCACAUUUGCAGUAAAGAGAACUCACCGUGCAAGUACCACACUGCUAACAGAGGUGUGGCCACGACCCCUCCCCAUGAUCUUGGAUGCCAGGGAACUCUCUGAGCUCACCAGCAUCUAGAAGGACCUAUGGUGAGAAGUUCUGCAUGUGCAGUGAGGGCUGUGAGCUCACCAGCUGACUGGUGCAGGGUCUGCUCAAAGCUGCAGAGCCCAAAGGUUGAGUGUAACUACUGUUCAUUCUUCCUUCCAUCCUUGCCUCCCCUCCCAAAUUCAACAGCAGGGGAAAAGAGGGGUUGAGUAGAGGCAGCGACACAGCUCCUGAGCUCCAGAGCUGCAUGAGAACUAUUAGAAUUAUUUAUCUAAAAUACUGCAGGGCUGUGGUGAGGACCAUGAAAUUUCUGUGACAAUUAGAGAGAAAUCGCAAGGCAAACUUUCAACCUGCAGGUAUAUUCAGUAUUUUUUCCAGAGCAAACAACCCAAGAGAAAUCUGUAUGAACAUCUGCUGUAAAUAUCGCCUAUGUGAGAUAGUGGAAAACAGAAUUGUCUGUGCCCAGCUGCUUCAUUCAUACUAACCUGUUUCUGACUAGCCAAAACCAAAGUAUUCCAGGAAAAAAUGCAAUAACCACGGGAAGUCCUCACAGUCUCCCACUACUGCCAAGCAUAAAACAUAUAGAGAGUAAUUCAUAGAUUCCUAAGUUCCAGGCUAAAGAAGAUCAUCUAGUCAACCUCCUAUAUAUUGCAGGCCAUUAAAUUUCACUCAAAAGAACUUGUGUUUGACUAAAUCACAUUCUCCAGAGAGGCAUCCAUCUUGAUUUGAAGACAUCAAGAGAUGGAGAAUCUACCACUUCCCUUCUGUUUGUUCUGAUGGUUAAUCGCCCUCACUGCUAAAAGUUUGUGCCAUUUCUAAUUUGAAUUUGUCUGGCUUCAACUUCCAGCCAUUGGUUCUUGUUAAGCCUGUCUAUGCUUGAAUAAAGAGCCCAAUAGUACUGGGUAUUUUCUUCCUGUGACGGUA